CGGCGUGCCGUGGGUCCCCGACCUGGGCGGGCUCUGCUCAGGAUGUAGCAGACCGAUAGCUGCUUGUGUUGUGCCGCUGCCUGCUCACAGCAGGAGGGUAACAGGCUGCCGUGACGUCCCUGUCUUGUUCCCUGAUCCAGAGUGCAGAUCCGUAGAGAGCACACGUAUAUCCCACCGCGAGUCACCCGGGGAGCUCGCCACUGCCUUUGCUCAGGGCAACUGCAAGCGCGGGGCCAGGAUGGCACCGGCUCCUGCUGCACCAGCUGCCCUUGGUCGCGAGCGAGGUGCCCUGUUUCCAUGGCCUGUCUUCCAGCACCUCCCUGGCAAAACAGGCAGGAAGGUUAUCAGGCACGGACUGAUACGCUCCCAGGCGCAUUGAACCUGCAGGAAGCCACCGACAGGUUUGCCAGCAGUAACAACAAAGGGCUUUCAUCCGCUGCCAACUCUAUGCCAGCGAUAAACUCCCCAUGUCUAGGUGAAAGGUCCUUUUUGCCCAUUACCAGUCCCUUGGGGUCAGCAGAGCAUUUUGUCCCAACCUUCUUCCUGGACAAGUUCAGAAGUGCUGAGGGAGGUCUCCACUUGUGUAUGAAUUCCAGAGGAGCACAGGCUGGUUAACAUAUUGGUUCCCCAUUCUCAGCCGGCACACCUGUAUCGAGAUAAGGAAAGAGCACUCAUAAAAUACUGACUGCAGAAAAGAAAGAGAACAUCUUUGCUUCAGGGGAAAGGGCCUCAGUUCAGCUCCAGUUAGCCAAGUAUUUUUCUUGAAGGAGUACAGCAGGCACAGAGUCUGAGCCAGAAAACAGCAUUUCUUUGCCUUUUUCUGCCUUCAUAGAAGAUGCCUGCAGCAGGAAACUGUCUCAUCUAUGAAACAAUACUUACCCCGUGAGUUCUGCAUUCACACUGUAGAUUUAUUUUCACCUGGUUUUGCCCCAUUUCACACCAAAUUGAAAUCACCAUCCAGUCUUACGGCUCUAAAUCACCAUACAUUGUUUCUAGAUACUUUUGGUUUCCUUAUUGCAUGAAUACAGGAAAACAAGUAAUGGUGUGUACAUUAUCAGAUCGCUAGUCUAGCAUCCUGCCUCCAACAGGAGAGAGUAAAAUGCCAGAUGAAAGCAGGAAUCCUCCAUACAGAUAUGCAAUAAUACAUCUAAUGUUAGGUAAAAAUUACUUCUGAUCCCUAACCAACAACCAAGGUACAUCCCAAAGCCCAACAUCUGAGAGUUUCUUACCCUGGUAAAUAUCACUUAAGAAGAUUCAUUUUUUUUCACAUAAAGCCAAAUUCCCCAGGCCUUUAUUCAUUCCUUAUUCUGGCACCAGAGAUGCUGGCUUUCCUCUUAAUGGUCUGUAAGAUAUGACCCAUAAACCACAGUCAGCUUACACUACUAGGUAUGAUUGCUUUCCCAUAUUUGAGCUCUCCAGGUUCAAGCUUUGGGACAGGCAUAUGCCAGGGGCCAGUUCUUCGUUUCAGAACCAACAAAACUGAAAAAGCUCCCUGAAACAAAGAGCAGAACCUGCCACCCCACCCCAACACCUCACAGCCUCUACUUGAGCUCACACCACCCCACUAAGGCACAAAACAGCAGCAGUGACCACAGGCUGGUGGUUGGUUCAUGCAAGGCUGCCUGACCAGCUGCUAGGAUAGUGCUACUAACGAUGAGCAGCAAAAGCAAGUGCUGAUGAGGCUUUGCCUUGGCACUUGUGAUGUGAGAGAAGCUAAUGCUAUAAUUCCUUGUAUUAACUCUGCUUCUGCAAUCUUCUGCAAGCCUACAUGUGUUUCAGCAGAUACCUGCAGAGCAGCUAUUUCUUGCUUGCUUUGUAUUUCAGAUAACCAGAACAGUCACGAACACCAAUUUUGGGUACACUGAGGUCUCUUGUGGGUCCAGUUAUACAUACCUGCUCCCAGUGUUUCCUCAGACUGUGUGGCCAUGAGCAUAUCUGUGUUUCAGCAGGCCCAGGAGAAACUCACACUCUCACAUUGCUCCCCAGCUAACCUUGUGCGUUGUACUGGUAAAAUACGUGGCUUCUCUCACUCCACUGCCACAAUGCUAGGAACAACUCAUCAACAGAUCACAAGCUAUCCAUUGAUCCACACCUUCUAGCACCUCCUCAGAAUGAGGCACAGGGACACACUGCUGCAACCAGCAACAAGCAAUUUAACAGAACACCAGAGGAAGAGAAGCCCUUGCAGAAAGCAGAGCUGCAACCUACUGCUCCAGCUCUUGUCUUAUGUGAUUCCUGCCCCAAGGAUGAGGUUUGACAUGCCAGGUGUGUUCCCAGUAGACAAUGCCAGCCACAAGUCACACUGCUGCAACAUAUACUGGAAAGAAAGCUUCCUGAGAGGUCUGGAGGUGUUGCUCACCACACACAUAGCAGUUGCAGAACACUAUCAAGUAACUUCUAUCCAAGGAUAGGAAAAUAUUUUCCAGGGGUAAGUAAUAGUAUUACUCCCAAAGGAGAAAACUAAGACAGAGGGAAGUUAUUUGAUUUUCUGAAGGUCACUGAGGAAAGCUGUGGGAGAUCCAAGAAUAGAAAUCAUAUCUUCUGGCCCCUAGCUUUAUGUUUCCAGGCUGUAAUCUAGCCUAUAACUAGAUCACACUGCUGGAGCUAUGCAAAAUUCAGUGGUUUCACUUCCCAAGCAUCUCAUGUGAUUGCUUUGCUUUGGUUUUGGUUCCUGUGGGUUUCUCACCCCUGGAGUUUUGAUCUGCCCACUGAGUUCAAACCAAAUCCAAAUCUCGAACCUAGUCAAAGAGGCCAAGUUUCCUCUGGUCACAUGAUAAAAACAUGAAAAAUGCAUUACAUAACAUUUAUGGUAAGCCCACACGCCUGCUCCGAUGCUGCUUGAAGAUCUCUUCAAAUUCCUCUUGGUCAGACGAGGAGGAGAAGGAAGGCAAGUGGCAAGCUCCCCCUGCAAGAACAAAUGGGGUUGUGGAGACAGAGGAGGGCAGAAGGCUGUGAGCUGACGCAGGAUCACGGUUUACUUCUGCAAUACCCAUGUGUUCCCACCUGUUUCUGCCAUGGGGAACACAUCCCUGGAGAACUGUCUUAUCUCUCAGUGUGCCACAUCUUAUUUUCCCUCAGAGACAUUGUUCUGUGGGAACUGUAGCCAAACAGUACAAUAGGAGAGACAGGCAGGAGGGGUGAAAACAAUGCAGAGAGGAUCAGUUUAAUUCACAGAUUCCCUCCGAGCUGUGUUUCCUGUUGUGCCUGGAGGACAAUCUAAUACCUUCUGCAGCUUACCCGCCCAGGGUGUACCACUGACACUGCGAGAUGCAAGAACAGGAAUGUGUGUGGGUGCAGAAGGCCCUAUUAGGCAGGCCUGGCCAAGACUUCUCACAAGGUAGGAAGGGCUGUUUUCACUCUUUGAGGUUACCGGGGAUUUGCUCGGCCCACCUCACACACCGAACGGCUCUUCUGCUUCCCUUUCCCCAACGCUGCCCUGUGCCAUAGCAGAGUCAUACUGCAUCUGUGCAGACGCCACUCUGAACAUCCCGAUGUUGAAGACAAAAAACCUGCCAGGGAAGAGGUUUAAGUGCCAUCUAUUGGGGAUCUCCCCUCAUUACACCAAGGGAGACAGAAGGAUGAGCUGGAAAAACCUCAUCCAUCCCCUCUCACAUAUGACCCUAAAUGGGUGAUGGCUAGAGACAGACACUGGAGCUACAGCCAGUGCCAGGCACAGAAAGAGCAUCUAUCUGCCAAGGGCAAUGCUAAAAGCCAGGCAGUAGCAGGGUGAAAGCUGAGCCUAGAGCUUGCUUGGAGGGAGAUGUGAGCCCAAAGCCGGACACAUCUUGAAUGGUUCCAUAGAGCAGGGCCAUCCACCAACUGUCUCAGACACAGUCCAAUGUAUGUAGGUAAAAGCAGGGGAGAAGAACAGUCCACAAAAAUAAUGAGAAUAGUUCCCAGAACAGUAUGACUGACAAAACAGGCAAAGGGCACCAAGCUCUAUCACCGAGCCAGCCACCAAUCACUUAUGGCAGGUACCACAGAGCAUUUCUCCUCCCAGUGUGUGAAUUGCUGAGCCUGUAGGCUCCCCCAGACAGGAUCAUCUCUGACUUUGCCUCUCUGCAAUGUCUGCCCUAACACAAGCCAACCUAAGUCAAGUUCCCCUCAUACAAACCAUAAACACCCUGUGAUCCAGCUGCAGGGAUGAGGCUGCAGUGCAUACAGGUGCUCUCCAAGCUCUGGCCGUGUGAUCUUUAUACCAGGAGUGUGGGGCAGGCAGUUGGAAAACAUCUCACAUGCAAUCACAAAGGAGCCCUUUACUAAGGCUAUAGGCACCCAAAGGUGAGAACUGGCCACCAUUAACUUAAUGGCUACAAACUGUCGCAGAACUGAGCCAGCUGCUGCCAUGCAAACACUUUGGACAUUAAAGAAGUGUCAGGAAGAGCUGGUCAGAGAUCACUGAGACUGACAGCUUUUUGAGAUAUAUCUGUUUUAGGCACAUCUGAGUAAUGAACUACCUAGGAUACAUGUUUUUGCAGGUGUAGUUUUGACUGCCAUGAAAAGAGGAAAAGAAGCAGAAAAGAAAUUGAAAAGUGUUCAGGAAUUACUGAUCCCUGCUAUGUUACAGAGAAACAAUGACCAUGCCUGCAUAGGCCACGUGACAGCAGUAAGGAAAAGAGAUGAUCCUCUUAACAUCAGUGCUUGGCAGCACCAUCUCUGUUAUAACUCCCUUGCUGCCCAUUCUCUUCCCACAAAUUGCUAGGGCCAAUUGGAAAGCCAGCAUGUGGCUAAUACACUGAGAACCAGGGAGAGCAGGAUUACCACAGCUGUUUACACCGUGCUUCUUUAGCUUGUACUGCAGACAUUUGUUCCCCUGCAGACAAGCCUGGAAGGGCCCCCAUGACAUCCACUUGGACAGCACCCACAGGGCCAACAGUUUAGCUUGGCCAGCCAGAAGCUUCAGGGUAGCAGGGCAGCCUGGCUCCUCAGAAACACAAGAAAAGAGAAGUGAUGAUUCUGCUUUAAAUAGAUUCUUCCCUCUAACCUCUGGAGAAGAGGAAUCACCUCAUCAGGCUAAAGGAUUUCCUUUCCUUCAAAUACAGUUGCUGCAACUCAUGUCUCUUCCUUUUCAAAUGCCUUCAUAAUAGCAGUCCUCAGCUGGGACCACACAGUGGUUCUGAGCCCUGCCAUGUAGCUAGCAAGGAGCAGUCAGUCCAAACAUGAAACGUCCAGUCUAUACAUCCUACCCCACAGAGAGGGCUAACCAGCUCAUCAGCUGCCUCAGACUUCAGGUCUUUAGGUCAAAGACAAGAAAUCUCAAACUGCUAUGCUUAAAAGGGCAGCAUCAGAGAAAAAGGCCCUAGGUUCCUGCAAAGGCAGGAAACUUCUUAAGCAAAAGUGCUGGAAGUGAGCACACUUAGUCUCUGCAUAGCAAAGGAGAAAAUAUUAUUGUGGUUGCUAGUUUGAUGGGGGGAAAUUCCUCUCUAGAACUUCCUGGCUGCCCAGACAGCCUCUGGGCUUAUCCCAAGUACAUAAAUAAAACACAGCUUUCAACAUCAAAGAGGUUUCCCAGUUCUUCUUUCUGGGCACCCCAUCUAGAUGGGUAUUUGUGAGCAGUUUCAGUGCUUCUAAGGAAAGUGAAAAAGAGCCAGGGUAGUGUUAUCAGGAAAAGAAAUUCCAGGAAGAAUUCAAAGGAGGUGCAAGUUGGAACUUGCCUUGCAGCUUGUCUCUGCUGUGGGCAUGAUGCAUGGUUGAGGAGGGCAACAACCAGGCUGCAUCCAUGCUGGACCCUGUUUGGGCCAGCCUGGGGGACUCCUGGCCACAGUGCCUCAGCACAAGCCUGGUCAGGCCUCUCAAAUUGCCAUCAGAUGAUUAGAAAACACCAGCCAGGCACUGGUGAUGUUUCACAGAACUGCUAGCACUCCCGUCAGCCUACCUGCAUUCCAUUUCCAGCUGCUGCCAAGCUCCAGUUUAUCAGUGGGAAGGGAAGACAGUCAGUGCAUAAACCUGUGCUACUGAGCUGCUCUUAGCAUGGCAGGGAAAGCUGAGGAGAGGAGUACAAGUACCGCCUGAGGCCUCUGUAGGGGCGACAGCACAACAGAAUCCUCAGAGAAAGGCUCAGAGGCAAAAUAUAAAGCCCUUAAAAUAACUGUAGAACUGAAAAGUGCUCUAAUGACUGAGUAUUUGUGGCCACAAAAAAGCCCAAAGUCAACCAAAGGGGUCCAAGCAUCCACUAAAACUGCACUUUGAGGAAUCGAAGAAGACAACCUGUCUUCACAAUCCUCUGCCUCAAAAGCUCAGAUUGCUAGACUAGCCACAGAAAGAGCUACGUUAGAAUAUUUUUGUAAUGAGAAUAAAUCACAAGCAUGUCACUUACUCCUUGCUUUCUGAACUUUGUUAAUGCACGUUGCAUCUGUACACACAUACCAUAUCCCCUCCUCUGCCCCUGGCUCUUCUAGAGGCCAAGGCCAAAUGCUAAAACCUUUAUCAGUUCCUCACAAUUAAGGACAGUUAUUUGCAAGCUAUUCACCAGAAAUCGCAGUUGGAACAGCUCUCUAUGCAGCAUGGCUGUGUAAACAAGGAUGAAAAUGGCCUUGGGAGGGAGGAAAUGAGUCUGGCAUCAGAAACUGUGAGCUCUGCAUGCAGGCACGCUAGCACUAAAAAUGGUCAAAAAAUGGGGCAAGAGAAAAUGGGCUAAGAUAAAGGGUAGAUAAAGUGUGGGGAUGACAUAUUUUCAUGGAAACCUUACUGUACAUCACUCCCUUAUGUCUCUUUGUUUCUAGGGUAAAACUUUUCAGCUAAGAGGUGCUGUCAGGACAGAAGCAGGAUCUGGCAAAUCGGUAGACACGACAGCCAGGCCGGCUCCUGUCCUACAAACCUGCCCUAUAGGGGGCUGACUAAGAGAAACGUUAUGAAAAGCCCUGAAUCCUAUCCAACACUUUCUGUCGCCUGUAUUAUAUACCACUCGUCCCCAGAGGGCACAAGAGACCACCACUUUGCCUCUGCACAGCUCACCCUCACCAAUCUAGCACUGCUAGGAGAAAGGAAAGAGGUCUGGAGGGAUGUUUGGUUUUUCUCAGCUCUGCCUCUGUUUUCUUCCACAUGGGCUGAGGGCAGAACAAGGAUUGCCACAUAACAGCAACAAGCUGCUUUCUGUUGAUGAGCACAUACGCAAGCAGGAAGCUGCACUUUAUUAUCCAAAGGUCUGGAUGUCCCACACAGGGCCAGCCAGGUUGCUGAUCCCAGGCUCUGCACACUCCCUUGUCAGUGCUUAAGCCCAAGAACAGUGUAAAAGGCCAGAGUGAAAGGACAGGGCCUGCCUCCAAAUCCCACCCUAGGAUGACCUCUCCUUGUCUGAGUGUAUAAGUGGUGGGCACCAGAACCUGACACAAGUUACACCCACCACCAGUCCCCUAGUCCUCAAAGGAGAACACAAAUAUGGCCCACAUGACCUGACUGCAUUCAGAGGAGGCAAUGUAGAAACAAAUUCUUUUGGUCUUAAUUUCCACACCACAGCCAGCAUUCCUAGAGGUAUUAAUGAGUAACUUUCGGGAGCUUGUUUUUGAAAAACCGCUCCUCUUUCUCAGCCAAAUCUACUCGGCUGUAUUCUGGCUCCCCUGUAGAUGGGUGAUGAGCUCAGAUACAUAGCAUCAAAUCCUCCAUAUUAACCUGCUCACACAUCACAAACAAGUGCAAAUAGCAGGUGUGUGAGAUUCCAUCUCUGGGAGACCUGCAUAGCUGUGUAGCAAAUUUCAAUAAAAAUGGGACAGACAGGUUCAGUCUAAAGGAUCAGAUGUUAAUGUCAUCUCUUCCUAGCCCUCUUCUGCUGUGUAAACCCAAAGGAUGACUUCUGAAGAUCCAGCCGAAUUUGCUGUAUAUAUGGUAGAAACUCAUUAUAGCAGCAGAUAAAAUAGCUUUCAAUAUAUUUCUGCCCAGUUUUUUGCUGCUAUCAUCACCACACUGUAUCAUCAUCACAGUAUCGGAGUCGGAGCUGUCCCAACACCUGUUUGCACAGUGAGUGGGCUGUGGUUGGGAUGGUUGCAUACUCAAGUCACAUAUUGCGUAGCAGAGUGGCAGUCCCACCAGAUCAACCAGACUCACACAGAUAAGAACAGACACUCGUUAUGUCAGUGUUCAUCUCAUCCCUGGCCUACGUAUUAUGAUGCUAAUGUGGUGGCUGCAUUGACAGAAAUGAAACUCAAGUUAUAGUAAUAGUGAGGCAGAAAGAGUUAGAAGAAAGAGCUGUGAUUAAAGCAGACAGAUGGGUCAGAAGAAGUAUGCAACUUGAAGCACUGUAAUUACAUCCUGACCAAAAUUCUUUCAUAUCAAUUUAGAUUUGCUGCUGUCAGUCAGAAAACUUUCCAUGCCGUUCUUCAGAGGACACAAAAAAAGCUAAAAGCUCGAGUAUAUUCACAUAAUGGAAACUCAAUAGCACCAUUCCCAAGAGAUAUUAUACCACAAGGAUCUGUAUAAAUAAAUACAGCUGCAGGUGUGUUCCCUUGCAAAUUCUAGUCAGUCCCUCCAUAAUAUUUCAUAGAGCAAAAUCAGUGUAAUCUUAAAAUCUCCAGGUUUUACCUGAAGGCAAAGGAAGCUAUUUUCUACAAAGCCUGAUGAAAACUAGCCAGGCCUUGAAAAAAAUACUAUUUUGUAUGGUUUUAUUUUUUCUCUUAUGUUUUAUGUGACUUUCUUCCUAAAAAUACAAAAAAAUGUUAAUUAAACAGAGUUCGCUGCUGUUAUAUGCCACAUUCAGGAAGGCAGUGAUAAUAAAACUGUGUAAUUACAACCCACUUUACCUUCUGCUGGGUGUCUGCUAUUUAGGGAAAACACUAAAGGGUCAUUAACACCAGAAGGCAAGGCUUUUUAGUUAAGGUGAUAGAAGAUUUAAAGGGUCAAGGCCCAUGUCCACAAAAAAACACAAGGUCCCAUUGAAUGGAUCUUGGGAGAAAUCAAGUAUCUAAGUCCAGGCAUGCAACCCUUAAAAGCCUGCCUAAUCCCUUGGGCUCCUAGGCUAUGUCUAUACCAGUAAAUUAAACAUGCCCAGGACUGUUCGCUGGCACUGAGGGCCCUGGCACAUGAUAGCUUGCACCUAUAACAUUAAACUCUUUUAUCCUUCAAGCAAGGCAUUUGGAUCCAAGUGGUUGUUGGGAACGGCCCCUGGCCCACACUAACUCUCUCAGUCAUGCCUGGGAAUUGUUUGGAAGAGUGUUAACUGGCACAGGCCAAAACGAUGGCAAGAAUAAAUCAACAGGAAUCAACUAUUAAUUUUAUAAACAAUGGAGUUGUAGUGCCCCAGAACAUUUGCUGAUACAGAUGUAAACCUAAAAUACUGCCAUGUGCACAUAUAUUGUCUAUAUAUACUUACUAUCUAUAUAUAUACAUUUAUGUAGAAUAUUAUGAACUUAAACCAUAUACUUACAAGUAUCAAGAUUGGUUUGCAGAGGAAGGAUUUCUUGGCAAAAGCAUGACAGAUGUAUGUUUAUGUUGCUGGUUGACUAGCCAUCAGCAGUCCUUACUUUCAAGCAUCUACAUUCUUCCCUUCCAGCUAACCUGGAAUUUCUAUCUUCUCUGACACUGCAAUUUUCUUCUGAAUAACUGGAAACAUUUGGGCAUAAUUUUCACAUUAAUUUUCACAACUGGAGUGUGUAUUCAUCUGUGCUUAGAGGUGUUUGCCUGGAGAUUGCCUUUGAGAUCAGCUGUGAAUCACUAACACUCUCAUGUCUGUCCUGUACAUGAUCUGGCAGACCCAAGGAACAGUGUAAAGCCCAGGACUCUCCUGUGACUGACAACCUCGUGUCCACCUUGAAGAAAGGGAGCCUGAACCACCUGCUCCUCAUGGAACUGCUGCAGGGGUGCAGUCACACAUAUGCACGGCCAGGGAAGGCACUCUAACCGAAAGCAUCUGCAAACCGCUCCCCAGCGGGGCUCAGCCCGGCCGUGUCCUGCCAGGGCUGCCAGGAGGCCCGAGGGAGCCAAGGGGCCAAGAAAGGAGCGCAGCCCACACUGACAGCAGCUCUGUGCCAACGGCCGGUGAGGGAAGACCCGCUCGUCCCUUAACCCGGGCAGGAAGACACUUUCCCGCCUAAAAGAACCAAAUAAAUAUAUAUAUAUAUAUAUUUAUAUUAAUCAUUUUAAAAAACCACCUCCCGGGGCCUGUAUCCCGCUGUCCCUCGUCCCCGCGCUCCGAGAGCCGCCCUCCCGCCCUCGCAGCGGCCCGUUCCCUCAGCGGGGCUCCUCGGCCGGGCUCCUGAGGCGACGCCGCCCGCACCCGGCAGGGGGCAGCAGCGGCGCGUACACCAACGGCCGGCCGGGCCCGCGCAACGGCCCUAACGGCCGGCGGGGCGCGGCCUCCCGUCCCGGCCUCUGCCCGCCCCGGGGCCCGCCGGCCGCCGCCGGGCACCCCGCACCCCUUCGGGGAGCAGCCGCCUCGCCUGGCGGCGGGCCGACGCGGCGUCGGGCUGGCGCGGCUCGGCCGGGCGAGAGGGGUGAGGCCGUGCCCUGAGGCGGCCCGGGGCAGAGGCGGCUGCCCAGCGGCACCCGGGUGUCCGCAGGGCGCUCUGGAGCCCUGCAGCCCCGACACCCUGCCUGGUAUCGCCACCUCCUAACAGGGCCACCUGGAGGAACCCCGAGCUCGACCACAGCAGCACUGGUGCCCGUUGGAGAGCAUGCAGCCACCAAAAACGUCUCGGUCCCCUUCUCCCUCGGGGAAGGGGUAUCUCCAGAUUUCCCGUCACUACACUGCCCGGCGGCAUUGAGCCUCAGGGGACCAUGGCCUCAGCUGCCUCCCUGCUUUACCCCGAGGCCUCAGCCAAACACACCGAUCCAGGAUUUGGGUUCAUGGUUGCCUUCACACACACUUUUCUGAGCUUCCCUCACUUCGGUGCAAUCCCUUCUUGUAACUGUUGGGACAUCCAGGCCGGUUGCAAGACCACGUGUGCAAGUCCCUGCCAAGAUUUUCCCAUUGUCACGGCUUGCUGAGUUCCUUCCCUUCCUCCACCCACCAAAUCCUGCUGGGUUACUGGAAACACUGCAGCCCUAAUGUACCAGUGCCUUCAGGCCACCUAUGGCAGAAAGGGAUUUUUCCAGGAAAAGUACUUAAUCACAGUCAUUCCCGACUUCUGCUUCGCCACUUGCGACUGCUUCUGCUCCCAUACUGAAAAGGGGUGAUGACCUAUUUUGAAAGCAUAAGCUACUAGAGAGGGGAGAAAUAAUAAAAUAAAAUAAAAUAAAAUAAAAUAAAAUAAAAUAAAAUAAAAUAAUUUUUAAAAGCUAGGUGAAUCUGUGUUCUCCAAGCUACAGGACACAGCCAAGCUGGCCAACCUGGUCCAUAUGAAACCCACUCUAGUCACUAACUUGGUCACUUUGUGGUGACCCGCCAGCAGGUGUGCAGAUUGCCUAAAGAGUAUCUUCUCUUCCUCCCAAACCUUAGAAAACUGGGAGGGGAGUGUGGGGAAAGGGGGCAGGACACAAAAAAAACAACUACCUUGGGAAACGAUGUUACGUAAGACCCCGAACAAGGCCAUAAGAAUAAAAAAUUCUGUAUUACAGAGUGAGGUUUCAUUUUCCAUAUGCUUAUUCACAUUUCUUAAUCACCCUGAGCCUCAUAAUUUUCAACAUAGCAGCAGCCUGCCCACCUGUGCAGGGGCUGGAGCAUUCUGAUGAAGGUCACUAUGUAGGCAGGCACUUUAAUUAUGUGUGUUUAAAGUAACACUUGGAUAUUUUUAUGAUCAUGACCUGAAGGAAAAUCAGACUGCUGAUUAACUAAAGGUGAAAAACACUCUGCUAACGAAGGUAAUGAAGGCAGUAAGGCAGAGGCUGGUGGAGGAAGCAAUCUCUUCAAUCUCUCCUUCCUGCUCCUGUCUCCAUAGACUUCUCAAACCAUGGAACAGAAGUCCUUACCUGUGCACAACCCUUAUCUGUUGCCAAGUGUUGGGAAAGCUGUGACUUCAGGAACUGCUAUGAAAAGCUCACCGAACUGCUAAAAUCUGACAGCAUCUCCAUCACAUCCAAGCCAUGGCAGUCACCUUCUUUUCUGCACCUCCCUCCACAGCUACAAUAAAGAGUGGGCAGCCCAGCAGUUAGUGCUUGCAACUCGGAGUAAUUGAAAUGCUACAGGGCCCAAUUCCAACUCUGCUAUUGUGCAAGUCUGGGAAAGGCACCAGUUCUCCCUGUGUUUUCCCCUCUGCCCCCCAAGCAAAACAAAACACCCAUCAGGCAGCAAGCUGACUUGUCUGAAUGAAUUAAUAGCUGUAAAACAACCUGAGUUGCACACAGGUCCGUCAAAGCCAUUAUCAGGAGUCUGACAUUGGCUGUCAACCCAUCCUUCAGAAACAAAGGCCAAAAAGAGGCUACAUCAGGCAACAGCACAAUGGCCUAGCCUCAGAGAGAGAUUUGACAUCAUGCAGAUACCUAACAGUAACAUUUAUUCAUCAGGACUGACAUAGACUAGGCUUGAAUCAGGCAAUCUGGAGUUUUGUAGCCACCGUCUUAACUUCUAAGGCUUGGAGCCUUAGAAGAUUUAAGCAUCUAAAUAACAUCAGCUGCCUGAAACCUAAAUACCUUUGAAGCGCAUGGCCUCAGGAUUAGCCUGCUAACCAGAAGAGCCUAACUUCAUGCCACUGGGAACACCAGCCCUGAUGUCUCACCUGAUACUUGCAAAGAUGCAACGGAGGAUUGAGAACCCACCUAGUUAAUUAAAACAGCUUCUUAAUAUCUUGCUUCUUAAUAGGGAGAUAUAAUCAAUGUUAAUCUUUUGGGUGUGCUACUAAAUAUCCAAAGGGGAUGUUUGUUUUGCAAUUUCCCUCUUCCUUAAUGGCAGCUUUCCCCUACCCUGCACAAUCAGUCACCCUGCAAUUCACAGCUAUAAAUAUUUUGGCUUGAUUGAUAGCUUUAGCAUUUCAGUGUCUUUCACUUCAAGCACUACCUCUUCCAUUAUCCACUUCUCCUUCAUGGCAGAGUUUCUGAGCUGAUCUCCUGUCAAGCUACACAGGCUGAGCUCUGCGUAGACUUUUCCUCAAGCUUUGGAUGCCAAGAUGAUCCACACCAGGUACCUGAAGGAGCAGUGUCAAAGGAGAGCAAGCUCCUGCCUUGGGCAGCUCAGAGAAGAUGCAAGCCAUUUGCCUGAACCACCAGAGACACCAGAGAUGUCCAUUUCUGACUGAAGAAGGUGGAUUAGAUUGGGAGGCAGGGUAGACUGAAAAAGGGAAUAGAGAAGAAGGGGAUGGGAUGGGUAGUCAUGAGAAGGGCAGGGGGAAGCAUAAGGCAGAGGAAAGCUGAAGGAACAGAGGCAGCAGGGGAGAAACAGGGUUUGAAAUAAAGGAGUGGGGUGAAUCUACUUAUUUAUUUAGAUUCCUACCCACCAAAUCCUAGCUAUGGAGGCAGUUUUGGAGUUGUUAUACAGCAGGCUUGGCAAGGGUCAAAAACAAUCCAAUGGCUUUUUACAAUGGGGUUUGAGAAAUCUCUGACAUGGUGUCUGGAGAGGACAGGUCUAACAUGUGACUGAAGAGGAUGAAACUUUGUAACCUGGAGACUCUUCCUAGGCAUACAGUUUGGGAGCCUUGGGGACAGUUGGUGAGCAAACAGCAGAAGAAGGUGGUAUUAAUAUUUCUGGAGGAAGAAGAGCAGAAAGUGUGUGCAGAUAAUAUGAGCGGAUUGAAGGAAAAGCAAUGCUGGUACCACUGUUCUUAGCCUCUUGGGCAACCAUGUGCGAGAGCCCCAGAUGAAGCUGGCUUUGCUGCAGGCUUUACAGCUAAUGCCAUUUUAAUUUGUGACAUGUCACUAAUGGAGAAAGAUUUAACAUGUAUUUAUUCAAUGUCACUAAAAAUACUCCAGCAGUUGUGGGGGAAGAAGGAUAGGGCUGAUCGACUGGGGAGGGGGGGAGGACCUGCACUUUUGUAAGGGCUGAAAUGUGAUGCAUACACACGGGAUUUGGAAAGGCUCUCUCCCAGUAACUGCUGAGUAUCCUCUGCCAUGAAAACCUGCUGUCAAGUGUCAUGUCAAAUCAGGAAGACUGUGAGCAGAGGCUGAGAGAAACCCUUCUCCUAAGUACAGUCUGAUGAAUGGAAAGUAAUUGGACUGCUAUGGCAUUGCCUGAACCUGGCAGGUUCUCACUAGAAACAAAUACUGUUUGCCUGGUAAUUGAAGGGAACGUUUAAUCUGAUUUCACUCCAGGUGACUAUGUUCAGUACAGUGAGUCCCUUUUCUGCUGUUAACACUCAGUGUAUCAUCUGUGCAUGGUCAUCUGGCAGGUUUUAAUCUGUUUCCCAAAGUCUGCAGAAAGUGUGGGACAGUUGGUCUGCUGAGAGGACAGCUGCGUGCAUCAUUCUCUUCCCCCUUCUGUGUGCUGCAUGGCCAGGUCACUGGCUUUUGUGCUUCUCCCACAUCUCUGCAUGGAGAGGCUUGGAUCUGCAGCAAGAGGUGACAGAGGGCUUUCUGUCUUCUUGCCCCAGAGCUGGAUGCAGCCUUGAUGCACAGACUGUGCAGGCUGUACAGAUCUGCAGGUAUUUCACACUGUGUGACCUGGAAGGUGGGUGGCACACUGGGCAGGUGACUGUGGCUCCCUGUACUCCCUUGGUAAACCUGCUCCUGCCUGCCCUGGGAUAACAGAAAGAGGACUUAAUACUUCCCAGGCCAGGAGUGACCAUGAUGUCCUGACUACUCCAACCCAAAUGGACUUUUGGUCAGUAAAUCAGAAAGUAAUAGGAGGGUUCUCUGCUCACAUUAUGCAGCCCUGUUCCUAUGCUUGCUAAUUAGAAAUGGGCUCACAGAAAAUGCUAAGAUUCAAGCCUCCAUGAGCACCAGGGGAACUCAGAUCCAGAUUAGACAGCGCUUGGAUGCUUUGGUGAUUGGCACUUUAGAAAUUACAUAGAUAGACAGAGCACAGUGGAAAUAGAUGGGACUUUGCAGUUUUGGCUCUUCUCUGCAAGUUAUAAUUAUUUAAGAUGAUGUUUCACAUCACAUUCAAGCUUCUGUGCAGAUAGCAGCAGCAGAGAACAAGAGAUCUCAGCCACCUAGGAGAGGAUUAUGUGGAUAUGACAAUGUUCAAACCCACUGGGCUCUGCCACGCUGCAUUAUUUAAGCCCAAUAACCAAAUUUAGUAACCAGCCCCUGAGGCACUGAGAGAUAAACACAGUUUCCAGAGCUCUUUCCCUGCAGUCUUGUCGGCUUCUUCCCUUAAAGGAGCCACCGGCUCUUCUCUUCCUCCCUCGGCCCCACCAGCCAGGCCUGAUCUCCUGCAUUGCUCCCACGCCAGCGAUGAAGUCCUUUGCACAGGUGUAAUGCAUGACCCAGGUACCAGCCACCACACACAGUGUGAAUCUGUGGAAGUCUGGUGCAGAGUCACCCGCAUGGGGAAAACAAGAGAGACCCCGGUUCCAGGCCACCAGGAUCCCGGGCACAGAGGCUGCAUCUGUGCAGUGAGGCAUGAGCUCAGGUACAGACAGGCCAAGCCUCGAGCCAAAGCACAGCCUGUCUGGACUGCGGCCACUUCCCAGCUGUAGCUCUGCACUAGAUAUCCAUGUGUGCUCAGGCUGCUAAUGCUCUCUGCUCUUCCCCGACCUGGCUCUCGCCUUCCUGGGAGCUUUGCAGCUCCAGCUGAACCUAUGCAUGAAUGUGCCUGCUGCUAAAGUGUGUGGACAGAAGCAAUUCUGGACAUGUGGACAGGUUCAAACUUGUGCUUGGGUGAAGAUCUCUCCUUGCCUCCUUUGCCCACCAAGCACUGCAGGUGGUGGGUAGAGGUGGGCCCAGCUCUACCUCUCACCAGCUCUAGCCUUCCCUCAACGGCAGAGCUUUGUCACUGCUUCACAAUGUCACAAUGCCGAACAAUGCCACUUGUUAACCAAUUUUCAAAAGGAUUGAGGCAAAGAGAGCCUGGGAGGAUUGGGUAGACCCUCUUCACCAGCACCUCAGACUGCUGGUCACCCGGCUUGUGUUCGGUGAGCAGGUGCUAUGCCACAGCAGGCCCUUGUCUCCCCGCUAAGACGGGAGUGCCCAAGUCCAUGUACGUGAACAAAUUCUGUGAAGUGACCUAUGGCAAGGAGAGGUUUAACAGAGUGAAUAUUUAACCAGCAUUGUGUCAAAUGUCCACCAUGGUGUUUGUCAUCACAGGGCCCUGAUCUUGUACAUAUUUGAGGCAAUGCAGCUUAACUCCCCACAGAUUCUGGCAGAGCUGGCUUAAGAGACCCAGAAUUUACCUUGGCUUGCAAAGAGGUCAUUUCAGUAAAACCCAAGCUCAGCCUCAGGGAGCCACGCAAUAGUGCUGAGACCUGCUGGUACUGUAGGUGACUCCCGCCACCAUGGCUAUUAACUGCAAGGCGUGUCCUCUCCAUGGCGGCGAUCGGACGCCACAGCCUCUUAAAACUGUCUGCCCUCUCUUAGAUCCUUCCCUGGCCUUUGGCCCAGAGCCCUGGAGGCAGUGAGUUGGAGACUGGUGUUUACAAACACAGCCUUUUAAACCGUGUGCGGAAUGAGAAAAAGGAGCGAGCCCAGCUGAAGGGCCCUGGGAGGAGAAGAUCGUAUCGGAUCUUGCAGGGAACCUCUUCCUGAGCCACUUCUCUUGACCUAGAUGAGCUGCAGCUGAGCUGCCAGGACAAGGAAGGAUGGUGGGCCAGCAGCAAGGGGCCUCUCCAGGCAGCCGGGGCUCCUGCCAGAUCUGCCUCACAUGAGCUGGACCUCUCUGGUUGCUACCAUGCCAGGGAGCAUAUGGCAAGGCUGAUCAUAAAGGCCAGCUCUGCAGGAAAGAAAGACUUUGGGGUUCCAUGGAUGGUAUCAGCUAGUCCACAGGCCAUGAAAUCUCUGCCAUCCUGUGCCAUUCCCAGAUGCUGAACUGUGGGCAUUCAGGAUUGAACAGGCUUUUUAACUUCUUUGUAGUUGUUGUUGUUGUUUUUGCAAUACUCAGCCUGACCAAACUCAAAAAUGAGUUAUUUAUCACAUACCUCAAAUGCCGUGACACAUAUGGCCUAUUGCACCAGUGUCCCUAAGCUACCCCUACCGCACAGCCAUUUUAUUUGUAAACCACAGGCUCCUUCCCGGUAGUCCUAUUGUUCCAGUGACCACCAGAGCCGAUACCAGCAUUGGCCUCUGGUGGAACGUCCCAGCAAGCAGGCAACACUCAGUAUAAACUGACUUCUUCCUCCCUGAGCCCUUGUGCCCAGUCAGCUCUUCCCUCCACUGCACAGACCCCCACCAUAGUGCUACAAAUCUGUGCCAGUGAGGAUGGCAACAGACAUGUCAUGUGGGCAUUGGUUCUUGGAGAGUGUCCUCAUCCAAAGCAUAUCCCCCAGGAGAACAAAAUGCCCGACAGCUGCUGGCUGGCUCCUGCUGCACAGCACUGGGUGUGACACCCAAGAGCGGGGUGAUUUUCUGUGGACCCAGUUUACUUGAGUCCUUUCUGAGGUCUUGUCUCGAGGGAAAAAUUCUCCAGUGUUACUGUUGUGGGAGAAGUUAUUCUGCAAUAACUUUUAAAACAGCUGCCCAUGGGGACACAGUAUGCUGGAAAAAACAGUCAUUUCAUUCUGGUGUGAUCACUCCAAUUCACGAGCCUCGCUCUUUCCCCUCCCUCCCAUCCACUGGAAUUAGAUUUCUCGAUUCAGCUUCAAGCUCUUUGCAGGAAAGGAUUUCAGGGCUGCGGUUUGGCCCGCGAUAGGACAGCCGCCCAGCUCCAUGGGCUGGUGUGCUCUCCUCACUGCUUCAAAACAAAUAGCAAAGCAUGCAAAUGUGCAAAGCUAGCGCGUAGUCUGCUGUUGGGAAGGGAGGUGACUCUUCAUCCUCCUCUAGGGACCUGCAUGGAAACUGAGCUGUGAAAAUAAAAAUAACGGUCCUAGUGAGAGCACUGCAAAGACUUUCAGCAGCUGUGACUAAUGUUAAACCACUUGGCAAAGGACUUCUCGCUCGCUCUGCCUCUCCCGCUCUCCGGGAACCUCAGAAAGGGCAUAACUGGAAUCCCUGUCUGGGGAAAGGGAGGAUGAAGAACAUGUAGACACCCAGCCUGGGAUUUCCUAAAGCUGUUGCUUGCACUAGGCAGACAAGAGCCACGUGCAGCAGUUCCAAAAGCAACGCACAGGAAGGGAAAGGUGUGAGAUUGUUUGUGUGAAAUAUAUACACCAGGACUGGCUGAGGGCAGCCCAGACCUCUGUUUCCUUGGAUGUAGAAGCAAGGCCCGGGGUUUUGCCAGCAGCCCGUCACCACCCAGCCUGCCCCCUGAUGCUAACAGGGAUGCGUCUGCAGAAGCAAACAUCCCAGCAGAGGAGAUUUUCAGGAUGGGUUGCUUGGCAGGAAGGGAAGGGGUGAGUGGGUGUGGAAAAGGAUAAAUCUGUAAUGUUCCUCACUUGUGGUGCAGAAGCAGGCCUCAGAUUUUCUCCUAGGGCUCCAGCUUAAGCUUGGCAGAGCUCUUAUCAGUGCUCAGCCAUGCACCCAGGCAGGGAAAUAGCCACCGCUGCCUGGUGCACUGGGCCUUUCCUGGGACUGCAGGCUCCAUUCUUCUUCUGCCCCAGACUGACAUGGUUACAGCCCUCCUCAGGGCUGACCUGGCUGCAGCUGAAGCCACAGGAGACAUGGAUGCAGCAGAACCAGACAGACAUAAGCUGAGCUUUGGCACAGCCAGGAUAAGGCUCUUGCCUGUGGGGGAAAAUGCUUGGGGGUUAGAAAUCUGCUGACUGCCUGUACACAGAAGCAAGCUCAGGAGAAAAACUCUUUGUAGCAUAGUGGAGCUCUGUCCUGUCCUGCACCACAAAGCACGUGCCACUGGUGUAAUACCCAUCCCACCAGAUGAGUACACAGCUGUGGCCCAUCGUUAGGUGCCAAGCAGCAGCUUUUCUUCCCAGCCAAACCAUCCUCUCUACAUCAUCAGCCUCACUGAGCUGGGGAAUAGCACUUUUAAAGCACUGUGUCCCACAGACUGUGGCCCAAAUACUGUUUGCACCAAAGUCAAAAAGCAGGAAGAAGAUCAGUCUUUUAGCUUUUUUUCCGGGCAAUCAAUAACUAACCUCUGGGAGGGACUCAGCUGUUUAUGAGACACGGAGAGAAAAUUUCUAAAAGACAGCAAUAAAGAGGACGUGGGUGCAGGGGGAGGAGGAAGGUGGGGAGGGGGAGAGGAGGGAUUUGUAUGUCACAGCUUACCUCAGAGCCAGAAUUAGAAGCUGGGUAAAAAAAAUAAAAUCACAGCAGGAAAUAAUGUGUAGCUUAAAAUAGCAACGUCAAAUGGGAGCGAGAAUGGGGAGUGGGUGGCAUUUGAGGUUGCUGCUCUGUUCCUCUCUCAAUGGCAGGGUGAUUAAUAUGUCUACGCUACUUGUGUUUAUGUAACAAAGGGCACUAAAGGCCAAAGCUGCAUUUUCACUACCACUGCAGGGGAGUCUGUGAAUCUUUUCUUCCCCCCAUAGCAUUAAGUGGGAGGAUCUGCACUUGCACUUCCUGCCCCAGAAACAAACAAACAAAAAAAUCCAUGCUUCAGUACAGCACACAGAGUUACCUUUCCACAGCUUGGCAGGGCAGCACAGAGACCUUUAAGGCUUUUGAAGGCAUUAUUCUGUAUUUCAUGGCUCCCCACAGAAAAAUCCUGUUCCCAGAGCACACCUGUAAAUGUGGUCAGAUUGUGUCUGGCAAGAAGCUGUGCUGUAAUAGCAAACAAGGUACCUCUUCAUGUUACUACACAUUUUUGUGCUCGUUCUUUAUAUUUGCAGUGAAUCAUAGAUCUCUGAGACAGGUCAUGCAGUCCAUUUCCUUGCCAGCGCAGGAUUGUUCCCAGCCAUAUACUUAAUCCUUCACGUUUCUCUCGGGAAACAAUGAUUCAGACUGAUCAGUCUUUUCUCUACACACCUUGUAUCCUGAGAAGUGCAUUAAAGACUGGCAAGCACUCAUGUGUUUUGGUAAGGAAGGGAUAUUUCUCUUGGGUACACCAAGAAAUACUCAGCGCACUGCAUCACUGUUCACUGAUGACGCUGAAGUUACCUAGCAAAGCAGCCGAGGGAGGUACGGCACUUGUUUUUUAGACUGACAUGAUCUCCUCUAGAUUAAUAAGCAGAACAAGCCUGCCCUGAACCUGCAGAGAAAGGUGUGAGAGCAUCCCAAGCAAGCCCCAAGGGGUGCAGGAGCCUUGUGUCUCAGCUGAUCAUGCUCAGUUGCUGCAGCUUAUCCUUCUCAGUGUUUGGUCCCCUUGGAGAGCAAAGACAAGAGCAAAGACGUUCUUUCACCUGCACACACAGCACAAGCCUGUGCCCCCUCCCAGUCACUCCUAUCAAAAUAUCUGUUUGCAAAUAUCCGUACAUGCAAAUAGCACAAGAUCAAGUUUGUUGUGCGAUAAAAACCUGCUGCACGGGCCUGAUUCUGAUACUCUCUGCCAUCAGCAAAUGUUUUUGAUAUAAGGUGGGCCGUGCUGGUGUCAGAGGAAGGAGAAUGUGGCCCAGACCUGAUGCAAAUCUUCCCACAGGCAGGCAGAGCAGCAUGAUUUGUUUAAACAUGGCAUGCUGGUGGCUGCAGACAGAGAUCACUCCCAGCAACUCCAUCAACGUGUAUAAUAUCCUGCUAGUUAAAUCUAGCCUUGGUAAAUAUCUCCAUCAUGUUAUCCUCCAAGCAAAUAUAGUACCUGCAUGGAAGAAAUUCCUCAGAAUGUUUCCUGUCUGGAGCUCAAGCUUGCCAGGGACUGAAUUUCCUGUGAGGCUACAGUUGGGAAUGCAAAGCAAAGAAGCUAACAAGAAAACGAGAUGAUACAUAUUUGAACCUGGUCUAUGCAGACCCUCCUCAAAAGCACAUUCCCCCACUCUUUUAAUAAAAAUUAAACACUUAGAUUUUCAAAUA